CUGCAAGGCUCCUGCAGGCAGAGGAGAGAGAGAAGAUACACGUGUGGAAGACGCCCUUUGUCCUUUACUGGGGGUGUGCCCGGAAAGUAGAUUUUGUUUAUUUAUUUGACGGACAGAGAUCACAAGUAGGCCGAGAGGCAAGAAGAGAGAGGCGGCGGGGGCAGGCUCCCCGCGGAGCAGAGAGCCGGAAGCCGGGCUGCAGCCCAGAAGCCCGGGAUCAUGACCUGACCUAAGGCAGAGGAUCCAACCCAGAGUCACCUGGGCGCCCCUAAUGCUGACUUUUUUUUAAGGACCUGUAAGGUUUCUGGCAACUUGGAGUUUGGUUUCUAGGUUUCUUUUCGUGGUGUUACUCCACCGUAGCCUGAGGUUUUGGACUCGGGUUUUAUAUACGACCGACUACAUUCUCUCAAGUCACCCAGAGUCAGUAGAGAUUAUUUGGAGGACUAAUAAAAUGUAACGAAGCUAAUCGUAUCCACAGUCCCACCACUCAAACGAUGACCAUUAAUAAUACUACGUGAUAAAUUUCCCUAGAGGUUUUUCAUUCAUUCGUGCAUUUAUCCAUUUUUGUAUUGCAUCAUGACCUGAACAUCCCACUUUUUAAAGAUUUUUUACCCAGUUACCCUCAUUGUAAAAGUCAUUUGAAAAAGACACUCUAAUUUCUUACUCAUUUGUCUUCCUAAAACAAUACACAAUUUUUAAAAGAGUGAAAAAAAUAUAUACAAUUUUUAGUAUCUGAGAUAGAAAGCAGAAAUAACUUGUGAUUCCUAUCUCAAAGGCCAUUAUCAUAAUGGAACCUUCCUAAGUUAGGGGCUAUGCUCAUUUUGCUUUGUUUUGCUAACCACUGUAUUUUCAGCACACCAACAAAACGAUGCUUAGCAGUGCAUUCUCAAUAUAUAUUUGUUGAAUAAUUGAACAGGUAUUUCUUUCGGAUGCUUUUCUUGUAAAUAUACUUUAUUUUUUCAUAAUA